AGCGUACACGGUGGAUGCCCUGGCAGUCAGAGGCGAUGAAGGACGUGCUAAUCUGCGAUAAGCGUCGGUAAGGUGAUAUGAACCGUUAUAACCGGCGAUUUCCGAAUGGGGAAACCCAGUGUGAUUCGUCACACUAUCAUUAACUGAAUCCAUAGGUUAAUGAGGCGAACCGGGGGAACUGAAACAUCUAAGUACCCCGAGGAAAAGAAAUCAACCGAGAUUCCCCCAGUAGCGGCGAGCGAACGGGGAGCAGCCCAGAGCCUGAAUCAGUGUGUGUGUUAGUGGAAGCGUCUGGAAAGGCGCGCGAUACAGGGUGACAGCCCCGUACACAAAAAUGCACAUGCUGUGAGCUCGAUGAGUAGGGCGGGACACGUGGUAUCCUGUCUGAAUAUGGGGGGACCAUCCUCCAAGGCUAAAUACUCCUGACUGACCGAUAGUGAACCAGUACCGUGAGGGAAAGGCGAAAAGAACCCCGGCGAGGGGAGUGAAAAAGAACCUGAAACCGUGUACGUACAAGCAGUGGGAGCACGCUUAGGCGUGUGACUGCGUACCUUUUGUAUAAUGGGUCAGCGACUUAUAUUCUGUAGCAAGGUUAACCGAAUAGGGGAGCCGAAGGGAAACCGAGUCUUAACUGGGCGUUAAGUUGCAGGGUAUAGACCCGAAACCCGGUGAUCUAGCCAUGGGCAGGUUGAAGGUUGGGUAACACUAACUGGAGGACCGAACCGACUAAUGUUGAAAAAUUAGCGGAUGACUUGUGGCUGGGGGUGAAAGGCCAAUCAAACCGGGAGAUAGCUGGUUCUCCCCGAAAGCUAUUUAGGUAGCGCCUCGUGAAUUCAUCUCCGGGGGUAGAGCACUGUUUCGGCAAGGGGGUCAUCCCGACUUACCAACCCGAUGCAAACUGCGAAUACCGGAGAAUGUUAUCACGGGAGACACACGGCGGGUGCUAACGUCCGUCGUGAAGAGGGAAACAACCCAGACCGCCAGCUAAGGUCCCAAAGUCAUGGUUAAGUGGGAAACGAUGUGGGAAGGCCCAGACAGCCAGGAUGUUGGCUUAGAAGCAGCCAUCAUUUAAAGAAAGCGUAAUAGCUCACUGGUCGAGUCGGCCUGCGCGGAAGAUGUAACGGGGCUAAACCAUGCACCGAAGCUGCGGCAGCGACGCUUAUGCGUUGUUGGGUAGGGGAGCGUUCUGUAAGCCUGUGAAGGUGUACUGUGAGGUAUGCUGGAGGUAUCAGAAGUGCGAAUGCUGACAUAAGUAACGAUAAAGCGGGUGAAAAGCCCGCUCGCCGGAAGACCAAGGGUUCCUGUCCAACGUUAAUCGGGGCAGGGUGAGUCGACCCCUAAGGCGAGGCCGAAAGGCGUAGUCGAUGGGAAACAGGUUAAUAUUCCUGUACUUGGUGUUACUGCGAAGGGGGGACGGAGAAGGCUAUGUUGGCCGGGCGACGGUUGUCCCGGUUUAAGCGUGUAGGCUGGUUUUCCAGGCAAAUCCGGAAAAUCAAGGCUGAGGCGUGAUGACGAGGCACUACGGUGCUGAAGCAACAAAUGCCCUGCUUCCAGGAAAAGCCUCUAAGCAUCAGGUAACAUCAAAUCGUACCCCAAACCGACACAGGUGGUCAGGUAGAGAAUACCAAGGCGCUUGAGAGAACUCGGGUGAAGGAACUAGGCAAAAUGGUGCCGUAACUUCGGGAGAAGGCACGCUGAUAUGUAGGUGAAGUCCCUCGCGGAUGGAGCUGAAAUCAGUCGAAGAUACCAGCUGGCUGCAACUGUUUAUUAAAAACACAGCACUGUGCAAACACGAAAGUGGACGUAUACGGUGUGACGCCUGCCCGGUGCCGGAAGGUUAAUUGAUGGGGUUAGCGCAAGCGAAGCUCUUGAUCGAAGCCCCGGUAAACGGCGGCCGUAACUAUAACGGUCCUAAGGUAGCGAAAUUCCUUGUCGGGUAAGUUCCGACCUGCACGAAUGGCGUAAUGAUGGCCAGGCUGUCUCCACCCGAGACUCAGUGAAAUUGAACUCGCUGUGAAGAUGCAGUGUACCCGCGGCAAGACGGAAAGACCCCGUGAACCUUUACUAUAGCUUGACACUGAACAUUGAGCCUUGAUGUGUAGGAUAGGUGGGAGGCUUUGAAGUGUGGACGCCAGUCUGCAUGGAGCCGACCUUGAAAUACCACCCUUUAAUGUUUGAUGUUCUAACGUUGACCCGUAAUCCGGGUUGCGGACAGUGUCUGGUGGGUAGUUUGACUGGGGCGGUCUCCUCCUAAAGAGUAACGGAGGAGCACGAAGGUUGGCUAAUCCUGGUCGGACAUCAGGAGGUUAGUGCAAUGGCAUAAGCCAGCUUGACUGCGAGCGUGACGGCGCGAGCAGGUGCGAAAGCAGGUCAUAGUGAUCCGGUGGUUCUGAAUGGAAGGGCCAUCGCUCAACGGAUAAAAGGUACUCCGGGGAUAACAGGCUGAUACCGCCCAAGAGUUCAUAUCGACGGCGGUGUUUGGCACCUCGAUGUCGGCUCAUCACAUCCUGGGGCUGAAGUAGGUCCCAAGGGUAUGGCUGUUCGCCAUUUAAAGUGGUACGCGAGCUGGGUUUAGAACGUCGUGAGACAGUUCGGUCCCUAUCUGCCGUGGGCGCUGGAGAAUUGAGGGGGGCUGCUCCUAGUACGAGAGGACCGGAGUGGACGCAUCACUGGUGUUCGGGUUGUCAUGCCAAUGGCACUGCCCGGUAGCUAAAUGCGGAAGAGAUAAGUGCUGAAAGCAUCUAAGCACGAAACUUGCCCCGAGAUGAGUUCUCCCUGACUCCUUGA
rnacentral:rRNA from 1 species